rnacentral:tRNA from 1 species
GCCGAGGUAGCUCAGCGGUAGAGCAACGGACUGAAAAUCCGUGUGUCGGCAGUUCGAUCCUGCCCCUCGGCACCU